rnacentral:rRNA from 1 species
CCUACGGGGAGCAGCAGUGAGGAAUAUUGGUCAAUGGGCGAGAGCCUGAACCAGCCAAGUCGCGUGAAGGAUGACGGCCCUACGGGUUGUAAACUUCUUUUGUCAGGGAGCAAUUGGGUCCACGCGUGGGCUUAGCGAGAGUACCUGAAGAAAAAGCAUCGGCUAACUCCGUGCCAGCAGCCGCGGUAAUACGGAGGAUGCGAGCGUUAUCCGGAUUUAUUGGGUUUAAAGGGUGCGUAGGCGGAAUAUCAAGUCAGCGGUAAAAAUUCGGGGCUCAACCCCGUCGUGCCGUUGAAACUGAUGUUCUGGAGUGGGCGAGAAGUAUGCGGAAUGCGUGGUGUAGCGGUGAAAUGCAUAGAUAUCACGCAGAAUUCCGAUUGCGAAGGCAGCAUACCGGCGCCCAACUGACGCUGAAGCACGAAAGCGUGGGUAUCGAACAGGAUUAGAUACCCUAGUAGUC